rnacentral:rRNA from 1 species
AGACCGAUAGCGAACAAGUAGAGUGAUCGAAAGAUGAAAAGCACUUUGAAAAGAGAGUUAAAAAGUACGUGAAAUUGUUGAAAGGGAAGCGUUUAUGACCAGACUUGGGCUUGGUUAAUCAUCUGGGGUUCUCCCCAGUGCACUUUUCCAGUCCAGGCCAGCAUCAGUUUUCGCCGGGGGAUAAAGACUUCGGGAAUGUGGCUCUCUUCGGGGAGUGUUAUAGCCCGUUGUGUAAUACCCUGGCGGGGACUGAGGUUCGCGCAUCUGCAAGGAUGCUGGCGUAAUGGUCAUCAACGACCCGUCUUGAAACACGGACCAAG